rnacentral:rRNA from 1 species
AUUGAACGCUGGCGGCAGGCCUAACACAUGCAAGUCGAACGAGUGGCGGACGGGUGAGUAAUGUAUGGGAAACUGCCUGAUGGAGGGGGAUAACUACUGGAAACGGUAGCUAAUACCGCAUACCAUCGGAUGUGCCCAGAUGGGAUUAGCUAGUAGGUGGGGUAACGGCUCACCUAGGCGACGAUCCCUAGCUGGUCUGAGAGGAUGACCAGCACAACUGGAACGGAGACACGGCCCAGACUCCUACGGGAGUGAGCAGUGGGGAAUAUUGCACAAUGGGCGCAAGCCUGAUGCAGCCAUGCCGGGUGUAUGAAGAAGGCCUUAGGGUUUUAAAGUACUUUCAGCGGGGAGGCGUUACCCGCAUAAGAAGCACCGGCUAACUCCGUGCCAGCAGCCGCGGUAAUUC